rnacentral:rRNA from 1 species
GAUGAACGCUGGCGGCGUGCUUAACACAUGCAAGUCGAACGGAAAGGCUCCUGCUUGCAGGGGUACUCGAGUGGCGAACGGGUGAGUAACACGUGGGUGAUCUGCCCUGCACUUCGGGAUAAGCCUGGGAAACUGGGUCUAAUACCGGAUAGGACGAUGGGUUGGAUGCCAUUGUGGAAAGUUUUUCGGUGUGGGAUGAGCUCGCGGCCUAUCAGCUUGUUGGUGGGGUAAUGGCCUACCAAGGCGUCGACGGGUAGCCGGCCUGAGAGGGUGUACGGCCCCAUGGGGCUGGGGGAGCGGCCACGGCCCCACCGGGGGGCAGGGGUGGGAACUUUACCCAAAUGGGCCCAGGGCGGGUGCAACGCCGCCGGGUGGGGGAUCGCGGCUUUCGGGUGUGAAACCCCUUUCGCUAGGGCCGGAGCCCAAGGACGGUAACCGGAGGAAAAGGCCCCGGUAACUCCCGG